rnacentral:lncRNA from 1 species
AUCAAGCAGUGGUGUUGUUCCUUUACCCUUGUGGGUAAUGGUAGGGUAGCUGGACCUUCAAAAUUUAUAUGUCUAAACUUUUUCAGAGAUAUUUAGCAAAGUUAUCUGUAGUACCCGAGGAGCUGAUGUUGCGUGUGGAGAUUGUCGACAUAUUUUACUCAGGAAAAUCUGCUUCUCGAAAUCCGGAGAGUGGUGCCUUUUCGAUUUUUGAAUAAACGGCCCUGCUGCCUUUUCUUUUAUAGGGGCACUAAUUGUGUGCAAGAAGUAUGUUCAGAGAGUUAUUGCUUGUAGGAAUUUUCCCCUUAUUUUUGUACUUUAGAGAUUUAUUAGACCUCAUUUCUCCUUCAUUAUUUCUGAAAAUGUCUGGCCCAUCCGACUGUCUUUUUGACUUGAACUUUGGUGAAGAGGCAACCAUGCCUCUUCAAGACAACAUAUGGCGCCCAUCCUUCUUAUCCC